rnacentral:misc_RNA from 1 species
UGUCCGUAGGUGAACCAGCGGAAGGAUCAUUACAGAGUUCAUGCCCGACAGGGUAGACCUGCCACCCUUGUGUAUUAUUACUUUGUUGCUUUGGCGGGGGCAAGCUCGCGAGAGAAUACCACAACUCUUUUUAUUAUUGUCGUCUGAGUACUAUAUAAUAGUUAAAACUUUCAACAACGGAUCUCUUGGUUCUG